rnacentral:rRNA from 1 species
GAUGAACGCUAGCUACAGGCCUAACACAUGCAAGUCGAGGGGCAUCGGGAGGGAAGCUUGCUUUCCUUGCCGGCGACCGGCGCACGGGUGAGUAACGCGUAUCGAACCUGCCCCAUACCCGGGGAUAGCCUUGCGAAAGUAAGAUUAAUACCCGAUGGUUUCCUUUUAUCUCCUGAUAUUAGGAAUAAAGAAUUUCGGUAUGGGAUGGCGAUGCGUCCGAUUAGCUUGUUGGCGGGGUAACGGCCCACCAAGGCGACGAUCAGUAGGGGUUCUGAGAGGAAGGUCCCCCACAUUGGAACUGAGACACGGUCCAAACUCCUACGGGAGGCAGCAGUGAGGAAUAUUGGUCAAUGGGCGCAAGCCUGAACCAGCCAAAGUAGCGUGAGGGAAGACUGCCCUACGGGGUUGUAAAACCUCUUUUUGUUUGGGAAUAAAGUGCGGGACNCGUCCCGCAUUGCAUGUACCAUUUGAAUAAGGACCGGCUAAUUCCGUG